rnacentral:rRNA from 1 species
AUUGAACGCUGGCGGCAGGCCUAACACAUGCAAGUCGAGCGGAGCGGCAGACGGGUGAGUGAUGCCUAGGUAUCUGCCUGGUAGUGGGGGAUAACGUCCGGACACGGGCGCUAAUACCGCUUACUCUCAGAUGAGCAUAGGGCGGAUUAGCUAGUUGGUGGGGUAAAGGCCUACCAAGGCGACGAUCCGUAGCUGGUCUGAGAGGAUGAUCAGUCACACUGGAACUGAGACACGGUCCAGACUCCUACGGGAGGCAGCAGUGGGGAAUAUUGCACAAUGGGCGCAAGCCUGAUGCAGCCAUGCCGCGUGUAUGAAGAAGGCCUUCGGGGUGUAAAGUACUUUCAGCGGGGAGGCGUUACCAGCAGAAUAAGCACCGGCUAACUUCGUGCCAGCCGCCGCGGUAAUAC